rnacentral:rRNA from 1 species
UCCUACGGGAGGCAGCAGUUAGGAAUAUUCGGCAAUGGGGGCAACCCUGACCGAGCAAUGCCGCGUGAACGAAGAAGUAUUUCGAUAUGUAAAGCUCUGUUGUUGAGGAAGAACUGUAGUGAUAGGAAAUGAUCAUUAUUUGACGGUACUCAACCAGAAAGGUCCGGCUAACUACGUGCCAGCAGCCGCGGUAAUACGUAGGGACCGAGCGUUAUCCGGAAUUAUUGGGCGUAAAGGGUUCGUAGGCGGGCCAUCAAGUCCGAGUUGAAAGCCCACGGCUUAACCGUGGAGGGUGCUCGGAAACUGAUAGGUCUUGAAUUCAGAAGAGGCAAGUGGAAUUCUAUGUGGAGCGGUGGAAUGCGUAGAUAUAUGGAGGAACACCAGUGGCGAAGGCGGCUUGCUGGGCUGAUAUUGACGCUGAUGAACGAAAGCGUGGGGAGCAAACAGGAUUAGAUACCCUGGUAGUCCACGCCGUAAACGAUGAGUACUAAGUGUUGGGGAAACUCAGUGCUGCAGUUAACGCAAUAAGUACUCCGCCUGGGGAUUACGAUCGCAAGAUUGAAACUCAAAUGAAUUGACGG